UCAGCCUCGCCUUCGGGUUGGGUGUACUUUCCAGGUGAACGGUUCAACUUCAAUUUUGGCCGUUGGCCAAGGGCGGGGGGACGGAAGGGUCGUUUGGGGGACGUGUUAUACCCCCUUGUUGUAUCCCCCGGCUGGGAUUGAGGCCCCCACCCCCCCCUUUUUUGUGCCCGUGGGCUCGUUUUACGUCCCGUGCUUAGGACGUGGGCAUAAGGGCUUUAAGCGACCCUUCUUGAACCCCGGCCCAAGGAUUUUACCAUGCUUGGGGGUGUUCGGGGGGAAACCCCUUGCGGGUAAGGAAGGUGAAAGGUUAGGAGCCCCUGGAGGGGGGGUGCACUGACGCCCGGCCCUGAAGUUCUCUGACGGCGCUGCGGCAGAGCAAGCAUGUUGGGACCCGAAAGAUGGUGAACUAUGCCUGAAUAGGGCGAAGCCAGAGGAAACUCUGGUGGAGGCUCGUAGCGAUUCUGACGUGCAAAUCGAUCG
rnacentral:rRNA from 1 species